rnacentral:rRNA from 1 species
UACGAAGGGGGCUAGCGUUGCUCGGAAUUACUGGGCGUAAAGGGCGCGUAGGCGGACUUUUAAGUCAGGGGUGAAAUCCUGAGGCUCAACCUCAGAACUGCCUUUGAUACUGAGGGUCUCGAGACCGGUAGAGGUAAGUGGAACUGCGAGUGUAGAGGUGAAAUUCGUAGAUAUUCGCAAGAACACCAGUGGCGAAGGCGGCUUACUGGACCGGUUCUGACGCUGAGGCGCGAAAGCGUGGGGAGCAAACAGGG